CCCACCCCUAGAGGCGUUAGAGGUAUGGCUGCUGUGUCACACAUACAUCAGUCGGUGGCAGAGAAGAGAAGCUAUGUCUACACUCAGUGUUCUGACCGGUGAAUAUCUGGCAAAUGAUUAGGAGCCUAACACU
ensembl:snoRNA Gm24503 small nucleolar RNA SNORA17